rnacentral:lncRNA from 10 species
AACUGACGACUGGGCAUUUGAAAACCCGAAGGAGUGAGGGGGCAAGCCCCAAAGAGGUCUUGAGAAAAAGGGCUUCAGGCAAUUAUGCUGCCAGAGCAAGCCAGGCGGGGAGCUUGGAAAGCUCCAGAAGCAGCAAGGAAGCCAGGUAGCGACAGCGGAGUAGGGGAGGGGGAGGAGAUGAGGUCAGGGAACCCAGGCAGGUGCAGGAAGGGGUUUGCGGGUGGAGCUUGCGUGCUUGGAAAGCUCCAGAAGCAGCAAGGAAGCCAGGUAGCCGCAGCGGAGUAGGGGAUGGGGAGGAGAUGAGGUCAGGGAACCCAGGCAGGUGCAGGAGGGGGUUUGCGGGUGGAGCUUGCGUGCUUGGAAAGUUCCAGAAGCAGCAAGGAAGCCAGGUAGCCGCAGCGGAGUAGGGGAGGGGGAGGAGAUGAGGUCAGGGAACCCAGGAAGGUGCAGGAGGGGGUUUGCGGGUGGAGCUUGCGUGCUUGGAAAGUUCCAGAAGCAGCAAGGAAGCCAGGUAGCCGCAGCGGAGUAGGGGACGGGGAGGAGAUGAGGUCAGGGAACCAAGGCAGGUGCAGGAGGGGGUUUGCGGGUGGAGCUUGCGUGCUUGGAAAGUUCCAGAAGCAGCAAGGAAGCCAGGUAGCCGCAGCGGAGUAGGGGAGGGGGAGGAGAUGAGGUCAGGGAACCCAGGCAGUUGCAGGAGGGGGUUUGCGCCGGGUGGAGCUUGCGUGAGGAGCGCUUUUGGAUCGUCCUCCGUGAGUUGGGCGCCAUGGCUGCCUUCUGGGCAGAGUGCAGGGCCUGCCUUAAAUGUUGUGGGGGUUCUGUUCUCAACAAAGGCGUAAGUUGGGAGCGACUGAGCCACUCCAGGAGGAGGUGUGGGCCCACGGCGUGUUGGAGGUGGAGCCACAGGACCUGUCCAUAGGUUGGAUGCUGUGUGGGUGACAGAGAGAAACCGGGGCUCACGGCCUGGGCAGCGGGACGGGCGGAGUCGUCCUCACCUGUGCUGGGGACCCUGUGGGAGCAGCAGGCUUCCGAGCACGUGCUGGACCCCGGCGUCUCCGGCUGCACCGAGUGGUCAGGACAUUGAGGCCGGGUCAGGGAGCGUGAGAUACCGGGACGAGCGGGCCCAGGGCUGAGCCCAGCGGCGUCCGGGUGGGCGGUGGCGUUGAGAUGGGAAUUGGGAAUUGCACCGGUGGUCUCAGGAGGAUGGAAAACCCAAGCAGCAGCUGCACCAGGACCGAGGCAAAGGGACCGCAGUUUAACAGAAAACCCAAAACGAGAGCGAGAAAACGGCCAAACACCCGUGCGAGUGAGACGUCCAUGAGCCUUCCCGGCAAAACGCCCAAUAAGGGAGAAGGGGCAGGCGCGGCGGGGGCCGGGGUUCCCUGAAGUCCCCUUCGUUUCCAGAAUCCCUAAAGAUCAUUCCGCCCCCCAGGGAGGAAACCCAAGCUCCGCCGAGCGCGGCGGGUCUGUGCCUUCGCUUCGCUUCCAGCCUCUCGCUUCCUUCUGACCCGACCCCGAGUUCUUUCUCCGGACGGUGUCGAGAACCCGGGCGCCGGCUGGGGCUGGAGUCUCGCUGGCCUCGGAGCGCCCCCGAGCCCUCGGGCGACAGCGAGGGAACGCCAGGCCCCCGGACGCGAC